AGACGAACCGACCAAACGUUAUUCGGAAUCACUGGGCUUAAAGGGUGCGUAGGCGGCGCGGCAAGUUGGGUGUGAAAUCCCUCGGCUCAACCGAGGAACUGCGCCCAAAACUUCCGUGCUCGAGGGAGGCAGAGGUAAGCGGAACUGAUGGUGGAGCGGUGAAAUGCGUUGAUAUCAUCAGGAACACCGGUGGCGAAAGCGGCUUACUGGGUCUCUUCUGACGCUGAGGCACGAAAGCUAGGGUAGCGAACGGGAUUAGAAACCCCGGUAGUCC
rnacentral:rRNA from 1 species